CCUACGGGAGGCAGCAGUGGGGAAUAUUGGACAAUGGGCGCAAGCCUGAUCCAGCCAUGCCGCGUGAGUGAUGAAGGCCUUCGGGUUGUAAAGCUCUUUUGUCCGGAAGAUAAUGACUGUACCGCAGAUAGCAGAU
rnacentral:rRNA from 1 species